CCUACGGGGGGCAGCAGUGGGGAAUAUUGGACAAUGGGGGGAACCCUGAUCCAGCCAUGCCGCGUGUGUGAAGAAGGCCCUCGGGUUGUAAAGCACUUUCAGUGAGGAAGAACGCCUGGUGGUUAAUACCCAUCAGGAAAGACAUCACUCACAGAAGAAGCACCGGCUAACUCCGUGCCAGCAGCCGCGGUAAUACGGAGGGUGCGAGCGUUAAUCGGAAUUACUGGGCGUAAAGCGCGCGUAGGUGGCUUGAUAAGCCGGUUGUGAAAGCCCCGGGCUCAACCUGGGAACGGCAUCCGGAACUGUCAAGCUAGAGUGCAGGAGAGGAAGGUAGAAUUCCCGGUGUAGCGGUGAAAUGCGUAGAGAUCGGGAGGAAUACCAGUGGCGAAGGCGGCCUUCUGGACUGACACUGACACUGAGGUGCGAAAGCGUGGGUAGCAAUCAGGAUUAGAUACCCUAGUAGUC
rnacentral:rRNA from 1 species